UUUCCGUAGGUGAACCUGCGGAAGGACCAUUACAGAGUUCAUGCCCUCACGGGUAGAUCUCCCACCCUUGAAUAUUUAUACCUUAGUUGCUUUGGCAGGCCGUGGAAACACCAUGGGCUCCGGCUUAUGCGUGCCUGCCAGAGGAAACAAACUCUGUUUUUAGUGAUGUCUGAGUACUAUAUAAUAGUUAAAACUUUCAACAACGGAUCUCUUGGUUCUG
rnacentral:misc_RNA from 1 species